AGUGAACGCUGGCGGCAUGCCUAACACAUGCAAGUCGAACGGCAGCACGGGAACUGGUUGCUCUUACGGGGUGGGAGUGGGGGACGGAAGAGAUAUACACCGGAACCUACGUUGUGAUGGGGGCUAACGAAGGGGAAUUAAUACUAAUACCGCACACGACAUAAAGGUGAAAGCCCGGGAUCUUUGGACCUUUCGCGAUGGCCUGAGCCGAUGUCGCAUUAGCUAGUUGGCGGGGUAAAGGCCGACCAAGGCGACGAUCCGUAGCUGGUCUGAGAGGAUGAUCAGCCACACUGGAACUGAGACACGGCCCAGACUCCUACGGGAGGCAGCAGUGGGGAAUAUUGGACAAUGGGCGAAAGCCUGAUCCAGCAAUACCGCGUGUGUGAAGAGGGCCUUCGGGUUGUAAAGCCCUUUUGUCCGGAAAGAAAUGCAGCAGCCUAAUACCGCGCUGUUAUGACGGUACCGAAAGAAUAAGCACCGGCUAACUACGUG
rnacentral:rRNA from 1 species